UUCGGGAGGCUGAAGUGGGAGGAUUGCUUGAGCUAGGGAGGUAGAGGUUGGAGUGAGCCAAAAUCACACCGCUGCACUCCAGCCUGGGUGACAAAGUGAAACCCUGUCUCAAAAAAAAAAAAAGGGAAAGAAAGAAAAAAGAAAGAGGAACAAAUGUGUGCCCUGUUCGUAGCCCCAGGAUCUUCUCCACCCCAGGACUUUUAUCCCCACCUCUAAACCCUGAGAAGAAUCUUCAUUUUCCUAGACAAAGAAGCAUUCUAUUUGUCUAGGUCUGGAAAGAUCUUUAGACUAGAGGUUUAAAAAAAAGAUGAUGGAUACUUUAAAGGGCAGCGUAAACAAUAAAAACUAUUAAAGGUCAAUUGAUCUGAGCUGUCUGGCAGGGAGAGCUUACAGACUCUCCACAAAGGGUGAGCUGGGCUGCAGUCCACAAAAUGCCGGGUCAGAGCAAGCUGGAGAUGACUGACAGGGAGAACUCUCCUGGGCUCAGAGUGUCUCAACGCCAGGAACCUCAUUAGGACAUCUUCCCUCCACACUGUGACUUGACACUUCUUUAUCAAAUGAUUCUUCAGGGAGUUUCACUUUUGUCACCCAGGCUGGGGAGCAAUGGC
rnacentral:lncRNA from 1 species